AGUCGUGUACUUUCCGGGGCUGCCUCAGCCGGCCCGGCUGCUGCUCCAUUCUGUGGCUCAUGAAAGGGUUCUCACCUCCUGGGCUGGAAGGGAGUGGGUCUGUCUGCUACCCAGGCGGUUGCCUCUGUGGCUUUCUGAAAAAGAAUGCGUGUGCUUGUCAAAACAGAACUUUCCUGUGGACUUGGAAGAGUGGGCCUGUCUGCCUGCCAGGAAGGAGCGCGUUUCAGUCUGGAUAAAAAGGGAGAAAAAUUCCACUGUGCAGGCCCAUCAGCCAUGGCUCGGAGCAGCCUUCCUCCCUCACAAAGACAGCCAGCUUCCCCAGCAGUUGCCCACCAACUCUGUCUGCCUUGGUCUGGAAGCGGGGGGAGGUGCUGAUGAAGCCAUGAGGGGCUGCUGUUAUCCCCAUGAUAGUGGAAAAACUGACACAUGAAGAGGACUUGCCCCAGGACCUGGAGAAGGGCCCUGGAAACCUGCUCGUGGAUUCAUCAGCAGAUUGUGACAGCGUGGCCCUGCUCCAGAAGUUUUCUCUGGAUUCAACCUCCCAAGGCAGCCACCGGAGCCAAGUCCAGGGCCCAAAUCAGAUGUGACUCUAGGAGCACAGUAAACACACCAGUUUCUUCUGCAAAGAUGAUCUAACUUGGGAGCGAUUGAUAAAUAUUCCCUUCCAGUGCUUGAUAACCCAGGUCCCUUGGGGACUCCAGAUACCCGAGGGACUCUUCAUAAAACUCAAAAUACAUCCAGAAGAGGGACCCCAUCUCCUCUAUGAAUUGAUCAUGUUUCCAGAAGGCAGAAGCAUUAGGCUUUGAGAUACCAGAGCCCUCUAAUAUCUGCCUGAAUUUCUGGAGACACCAACAGAAAGUCUUGGCAAGAUGGAGGACAUUUUUGGAUCUAGCUCCCAA